rnacentral:rRNA from 1 species
UACAGAGGGGGCAAGCGUUAUUCGGAAUUAUUGGGCGUAAAGGGCGCGUAGGCGGCCUGGCAAGUGGAAGGUGAAAUCCCUCGGCUUAACCGAGGAACUGCCCUCCAAACUGCUUGGCUUGAGUCCGGGAGAGGUGAGUGGAAUUCCCAGUGUAGCGGUGAAAUGCGUAGAUAUUGGGAGGAACACCAGUGGCGAAGGCGGCUCACUGGACCGGAACUGACGCUGAGGCGCGAAAGCUAGGGGAGCAAACAGG